rnacentral:lncRNA from 1 species
AAAUAAAUUAUUUUUUAUUUGGAAUAUAAAUGCCUAUUACUUUGUUUUGAUAUUACAGGUUUUGUGCAAAUAUCUGCUGAGUGAACUACUUAUUUGAAAAGACAUCAUUGGUUAAUAUUCCCUUUUGCUCAUUGAAAUCUCAAAGACUACAGUUUCCAGAAGCAGAGAGAGAUAAGACCCAUGAUAAUCAAGCCAUAAACAGAUGCAUUUACUAGCUGAAUGCCCAACAAUGGAAUUCAACAAACCCAUCUUGAGCACGGCAGCCAGGAGUGUGGUGCAAUUCCAUUAGAUGAAAGAGAUCUACACAUUCAGAAGCACAUGAUUCUUCCCCCUUCCAUGAUUCCAGUGGCCAAUAGAGGUAUAAGGAAGAACCAAGAAACAGUAUUUACUGCAUCCUUUGGCAUUGAUGUUACAGUAUUUCACGAAAGGCCCGAGACAAACUACAAUAAAGCCAUGCCCCGACUGGAUGUGCCUAACAUUUGUCUGGUGCUUAAAGGAGUUGGCUGCAUGCAUGGAAAUGUUGGAAAGUCACCAAAAAUACUUCUCCAAGUCAGAAGCGGUGCAAAAGCUGCCUCAGCUCUUGGUGGAUUUUCAAUUUCUCCCAGCCAUCUCUGUUUCUCUCAGGGUUUCUGAAGACAGUGGAUAAUGAAGAUAUUAUACCAUUAUAUGCUCUUGAAUCUGUCUCAUUGUGACUUGGCGAAGAGGCAGUGAAUCUGCCAAAAAGAAGUAGAGCAGCUGUGAAGAUGCCAACACAAUUGAGUACUCUUUCUCUACAUAUUUCUAAAUAUGGCAAUUUAUUGGACACUUAUGAGCAUGGAAUGACAAUGGGGUCAAUUUAACCAUACAGCAAUGCUGAGACACCUUCAUUAUGACCUUUCCCUGGUAUAAGUUAUGUGAUAAUGAAUGCAUGUUUAGUCACACACUGUAGGUACAGAUGGGAAAAAGAAAGCAUAAAAUAUAAAACAUGAUGUCCAGGU